GGUCCCAUAGCUCAGUUGGUCAGAGCGUCGUACUAAUAAUAUAAGUGCUUCUUGUAAUAUCGGUAAUGCGAAGGCCGUGAGUUCAAGCCUCACUGGGACCA